CAGUCGCCGCGGUAAGACGAACCGUGCGAACGUUAUUCGGAAUCACUGGGCUUAAAGCGCGUGUAGGCGGAUGGGAGCGUCGGCCUCUGAAAUCCCCCGGCUCAACCGGGGAAGUGGAGCCGAAACGACCCGUCUGGAGGGACGUAGGGGGACCUGGAACUUCCGGUGGAGCGGUGAAAUGCGUUGAGAUCGGAAGGAACGCCCGUGGCGAAAGCGAGGUCCUGGACGUCUGCUGACGCUGAGACGCGAAAGCCAGGGGAGCGAACGGGAUUAGAUACCCGGGUAGUCCCUGUCUCUUAUA
rnacentral:rRNA from 1 species